UACGGGGGGGGGCAAGCGUUUGUUCGGAAUUACUGGGCGUAAAGGGUUCGUAGGUGGCUUGCUAAGUCAGACGUGAAAUCCCUCAGCUUAACUGGGGAACUGCGUCUGAGACUGGCAAGCUUGAGUGCAGGAGAGGAACGCGGAAUUCCAGGUGUAGCGGUGAAAUGCGUAGAUAUCUGGAGGAACACCGGUGGCGAAGGCGGGUCUCUGGACAGUUCCUGACGCUGAGGCACGAAGGCCAGGGGAGCAAACGGG
rnacentral:rRNA from 1 species